rnacentral:lncRNA from 1 species
AGAAUUAAGAGGGAUAAACUUUAUAGCUCGAUGAGAAUCUCCAUAUAUUCACACCAAUAUAAUAAUUGAUUGAAAAAUAAUAAAAAAAUAUUAAUAAAAAAAAUCAUAAAUCAUAAAAUCCCAUGUCAUGCAUCCAAUGUAACUAAGCAACUAUAUAAGUAUAUAAUACACAUCAUGCAUAACCAUAAAACUAUGUCUCAUUAAUAUGAUCCAGAUCAAUCCAAAAUUAUCUUAGAAUUUGGGACUAAUCAUGAUCACGCUCUAGUCCAUAACUAGCAAACCUAAUACCAUAUUCCUGCUCAUGGUGGGGCUAUUUUCAGUACCAUAUUCCUAUCUAUGAUAAGGCUAUUCUCAAUACCACAUUCCUACUCCUAACGGACUAUCCUCAAUGAUAUGUUUUUACCCAUGGC